CUGAUGCUUUGGCAAUGGUGCCAAGCUCCUCAAGGGAUCUCACUUGCUGGAAAGUGGCAUUCUGCAGAGAGGGCUCCUCUGUCCGAGCAGACUCGAUCCAUGUGUCAUCAGUGGGAUUUAUUUUGCCAAAUGCCGUCGGAUUUGUCGCCUUCCUAUUUAUCAGUCCAACCAGGACAGAGGCAGCCAGUUGCUGUUCACGAGGGAGAUCUGCGAGAGAUCACGGAAAUUAAGAUCUACAACCUGGGAUCCUUGCUUGUAGAUUGCUGUAAAAUUAGAUAAAGCCUUUACCUCUGAUGCUAAUGAUGUACACAACGUCCUUGCUCUGCACACUGGGGGUAGCAAUCAAGAGGAGGCAGCAUGCAAGCAAAAGAUUGCUCGUGCCCAUUGGUGCCUUCACCACUGUCGAUACGUUUAGGCACUCCACAUCAAUUGCGUCCAACUUCAGGGUAGGAUAUAUGCGAUUUCUUGGGAAUGUCGUCUCGGA
rnacentral:lncRNA from 1 species